rnacentral:rRNA from 1 species
UACGAAGGGGGCUAGCGUUGCUCGGAAUCACUGGGCGUAAAGGGUGCGUAGGCGGGUUUUUAAGUCAGGGGUGAAAUCCUGGAGCUCAACUCCAGAACUGCCUUUGAUACUGAAGAUCUUGAGUCCGGGAGAGGUGAGUGGAACUGCGAGUGUAGAGGUGAAAUUCGUAGAUAUUCGCAAGAACUCCAGUGGCGAAGGCGGCUCACUGGCCCGGUACUGACGCUGAGGCGCGAAAGCGUGGGGAGCAAACAGG